rnacentral:rRNA from 1 species
AUGAACGCUAGCGGCAGGCUUAACACAUGCAAGUCGAGGGGCAGCGAGGGUAGCAAUACCUGUCGGCGACCGGCGCAAGGGUGCGUAACGCGUGAGCAACAUGCCCGUAUCAGGGGGAUAAUCCAGGGAAACUUGGUCUAAUACCGCAUAAUAAUCAUUUGGGGCAUCUUGGAUGAUUUAAAAUUUCGAUGGAUACGGAUUGGCUCGCGUGACAUUAGCUGGAUGGUAGGGUAACGGCCUACCAUGGCUACGAUGUCUAGGGGUUCUGAGAGGAAGGUCCCCCACACUGGAACUGAGACACGGUCCAGACUCCUACGGGAGGCAGCAGUGAGGAAUAUUGGACAAUGGAUGGAAAUCUGAUCCAGCCAUGCCGCGUGCAGGAAGACGGCCCUAUGGGUUGUAAACUGCUUUUGUAUGGGAGCAAUAAGGGCUACGUGUAGCCUGAUGAGAGUACCAUACGAAUAAGGACCGGCUAACUCCGUGCCAGCAGCCGCGGUAAUACGGAGGGUCCGAGCGUUAUCCGGAUUUAUUGGGUUUAAAGGGUGCGUAGGCGGUUUUAUAAGUCAGCGGUGAAAUUUUCCGGCUCAACCGGGAUACUGCCGUUGAUACUGUAAGGCUAGGAUAUGGUUGCUGUGGGUGGAAUGUGUGGUGUAGCGGUGAAAUGCUUAGAGAUCACACAGAAUAUCGAUUGCGAAGGCAGCUCACAAAGCCAUUAUUGACGCUGAGGCACGAAAGUGUGGGGAUCAAACAGGAUUAGAUACCCUGGUAGUCCACACUGUAAACGAUGAUAACUCGCUGUCGGCGAUAUAAAGUCGGUGGCCAAGCGAAAGCGAUAAGUUAUCCACCUGGGGAGUACGACCGCAAGGUUG